rnacentral:lncRNA from 1 species
CUGUUCCAAUUGGCAAGGGCAAAGUCCGGGUGGACCGCAGUGAUGGAGGGAUUUUCAUCAUCCUCUCUAUCCCGAAUGAUGGCUAUUACGUCUGGGCAAUCAUCUUCUGAGGUGUAUCUGUUGGUAUGUUCAUCAUGAACGAUGAUGCGUAUGCCUGACAUAAUUCGGAUGACAUCUUGCUUGAUUCUUCGUUCGUCUUCUUCCACUGCGGGAUUUGGAACUAAGACUCCUUUUUCCUUCACUGGUACCGGCUUGGGAAAUAACAUAGCCAUUACAUUGGUUGGCACCUUUACAAGAGGUUGUGCGGACUCAGAGUUUGAAGGCGAAGAUAAACGCCGCAUGGUUGAAGCUGAAGGAAUCUGCUGAUGCUUAUGAGGA